UUCGGCCCUCAGUAAAGCGGCGGACGGGUGAGUAACACGUAGGUAAUCUUCCCUUGAGCGGGGGACAACGUUUCGAAAGGAACGCUAAUACCGCAUAAGUUUCCAGAGACUCUGGUCUUUGGAAGGAAAGCUAGGUCACAAGAUCCGGCACUCGAGGAGGAGCCUGCGUCGCAUCAGCUAGUUGGUGGGGUAAUGGCCUACCAAGGCGAAGACGCGUAGCUGGUCUGAGAGGAUGAUCAGCCACACUGGGACUGAGACACGGCCCAGACUCCUACGGGAGGCAGCAGUGGGGAAUAUUGGACAAUGGGCGAAAGCCUGAUCCAGCUACGCCGCGUGGGUGAUGAAGGCCUUCGGG
rnacentral:rRNA from 1 species